rnacentral:lncRNA from 1 species
CUUCCCACUAUGCAUAUGCUUCUUCUCUCUCUUAACAUUUACAUGUUGCUGCUUACCCUUAUGACUUGUCUUGUCCUCCUCUUCGUAGGGCUCAAGGUUCUUGUAACGAUUUUUGAACCCUUCCCUGUCAUCGUCUUCCCAUGGGUAAUAACUCAUCCUUGAAAUUAUGAGAAAAUGGGAAAUAAUCAAAAUGAAGAUGGGUAAAAAAUGAGAUAAAAUAAUACAUAAUUAAACAAGUAAAGUUACGUAAAAUAUGAAAUCAUGUGAAUAGAUUGUGCACUUAGAAUUGUUCUAUUUAUAACUACUAAAUUUUCCUACAAAUCAUCAUAUAGUAAGAACAAGAAAUUGACAUAUUGUAAGCCAAUCAUUAAUAAAGGUUAUGGAAAAAAGAAAAAAUAUUAGUUAGUCGUCCACACUUUUCCAGUAUCAAGGUGCAGGUUGUGAUUUGUGAGUGACCACCCUCCAACGAAGAGUGCUCCGUUUUACAAAUAGCGUUAUAGCAGAAGGCAAUAGUAUUUGUAAAUAUUCUUUUG